CCGUGCAGCCGGGGAGUCAGCGGUGCCCUGUACCUGCAAUCCGCUAUAGCAGGGGUGAUGUUUCGCCUCGGGUGGAAGCUUGCAGAGCUGCCCCUGAUAAGUGACAAUGACGCUUGGGUCUUACGCAAUGGGAAUUUACGAACCGUGUCAGGUCAGGAAUGAAGCAGCACUAAGUAGAACCUCCCGUGUGCCGUGAGGGUGCCUGGGCCGAGUUAACUGUCAGGGUAACGUCUGUGGGUCAUAUUCAAAGCGAAACGCACGG
rnacentral:SRP_RNA from 1 species